CCUGGCCUUGACAUACUAAGAACUUUCCAGAGAUGGAUUGGUGCCUUCGGGAACUUAGAUACAGGUGCUGCAUGGCUGUCGUCAGCUCGUGUCGUGAGAUGUUGGGUUAAGUCCGCAACGAGCGCAACCCUUUUCCUUAUUUGCCAGCGGGUUAUGCCGGGAACUUUAAGGAUACUGCCAGUGACAAACUGGAGGAAGGCGGGGACGACGUCAAGUCAUCAUGGCCCUUACGGCCAGGGCUACACACGUGCUACAAUGGUCGGUACAAAGGGUUGCUACCUCGCGAGAGGAUGCUAAUCUCAAAAAGCCGAUCGUAGUCCGGAUCGCAGUCUGCAACUCGACUGCGUGAAGUCGGAAUCGCUAGUAAUCGCGGAUCAGAAUGCCGCGGUGAAUACGUUCCCGGGCCUUGUACACACCGCCCGUCACACCAUGGGAGUUUGUUGCACCAGAAGUAGGUAGUCUAACCGCAAGGAGGACGCUUACCACGGUGUGGCCGAUGACUGGGGUGAAGUCGUAACAAGGUAGGCGUAGAUGA
rnacentral:rRNA from 1 species